rnacentral:rRNA from 1 species
AUAAGAGCAGAACAUCUAUCGGGGGGACGCCUGUGGAAUGAGCGGCGGACGGGUGAGUAACACGUGGGCAACCUGCCUUCCAGAUCGGAAUAACCCCGGGAAACCGGGGCUAAUGCCGAAUAACCAGGCGGUUCGCAUGAACCGGCUGUAAAAGUGGGGAGUUCGCUCCGCACACUGGAAGAUGGGCCCGCGGCGCAUUAGCUGGUUGGUAGGGUAGUGGCCUACCAAGGCGACGAUGCGUAGCCGACCUGAGAGGGUGAUCGGCCACACUGGAACUGAGACACGGUCCAGACUCCUACGGGAGGCAGCAGUAGGGAAUCAUCCGCAAUGGGCGAAAGCCUGACGGUGCAACGCCGCGUGAACGAAGAAGGUUUUCGGAUCGUAAAGUUCUGUUAUGAGGGAAGAACAAGUGCCGGUCGAACAGGCCGGCACCUUGACGGUACCUCACGAGAAAGCCCCGGCUAACUACGUGCCAGCAGCCGCGGUAAUACGUAGGGGGCAAGCGUUGUCCGGAAUUAUUGGGCGUAAAGCGCGCGCAGGCGGUCUCUUAAGUCUGAUGUGAAAGCCCACGGCUCAACCGUGGAGGGUCAUUGGAAACUGGGAGACUUGAGUGUAGGAGAGGAAAGUGGAAUUCCACGUGUAGCGGUGAAAUGCGUAGAUAUGUGGAGGAACACCAGUGGCGAAGGCGACUUUCUGGCCUACAACUGACGCUGAGGCGCGAAAGCGUGGGGAGCAAACAGGAUUAGAUACCCUGGUAGUCCACGCUGUAAACGAUGAGUGCUAGGUGUUAGGGGUUUCGAUGCCCUUAGUGCCGAAGUUAACACAUUAAGCACUCCGCCUGGGGAGUACGGCCGCAAGGCUGAAACUCAAGGAAUUGACGGGGGCCCGCACAAGCAGUGGAGCAUGUGGUUUAAUUCGACGCACGCGAAGAACCUUACCAGGUCUUGACAUCCUUUGCCCGCACUGAGACAGUG